UACGUAGGGACCAAGCGUUGUUCGGAUUUACUGGGCGUAAAGGGCGCGUAGGCGGCGUGGUAAGUCAGCUGUGAAAUCUCCGAGCUUAACUCGGAACGGUCAGCUGAUACUGCUGUGCUAGAGUACAGAAGGGGCAAUCGGAAUUCUUGGUGUAGCGGUGAAAUGCGUAGAUAUCAGGAGGAACACCGGUGGCGAAGGCGGGUCUCUGGGCCGAUACUGACGCUGAGGAGCGAAAGCGUGGGGAGCAAACAGG
rnacentral:rRNA from 1 species